rnacentral:rRNA from 1 species
GGGCGGGGAUUAGUGGCGAACGGGUGAGUAACACGUGGGCAAUCUGCCCUGCACUCUGGGACAAGCCCUGGAAACGGGGUCUAAUACCGGAUAUGACCGUCUGCCGCAGGGUGGAUGGUGUAAAGCUCCGGCGGUGCAGGAUGAGCCCGCGGCCUAUCAGCUUGUUGGUGAGGUAGUGGCUCACCAAGGCGACGACGGGUAGCCGGCCUGAGAGGGCGACCGGCCACACUGGGACUGAGACACGGCCCACACUCCUACGGGAGGCAGCAGUGGGGAAUAUUGCACAAUGGGCGAAAGCCUGAUGCAGCGACCCCGCGUGAGGGAUGACGGCCUUCGGGUUGUAAACCUCUUUCAGCAGGGAAAAAGCGAAAGUGACGGUACCUGCAAAAGAAGCGCCGGCUAACUACGUGCCAGCAGCCGCGGUAAUACGUAGGGCGCAAGCGUUGUCCGGAAUUAUUGGGCGUAAAGAGCUCGUAGGCGGCUUGUCACGUCGGUUGUGAAAGCCCGGGGCUUAACCCCGGGUCUGCAGUCGAUACGGGCAGGCUAGAGUUCGGUAGGGGAGAUCGGAAUUCCUGGUGUAGCGGUGAAAUGCGCAGAUAUCAGGAGGAACACCGGUGGCGAAGGCGGAUCUCUGGGCCGAUACUGACGCUGAGGAGCGAAAGCGUGGGGA